UCGCUAAAAUAUUACUGAAGAUGCGUUACUUGCUACUCCUAGGAAUUGCUCUCUUGGGUACUGUAAGAGGAGAACACAGAGAUAUUCCCGAAAGCGAUAAAAUCCUUAUAAUUGAACUAAGACAACGUGGCGAAAACACCCUUGACGAUAUUUUAAAAGUGAUAUAUGAAACAUGUAUGAAAUUUGCACAGCUGAUUAUCGAUUCUCAAGAAGCCCCACAAGAUGUCCUUGAUAGAGUGCAAGCAUUUAAAACACGCUGGAUUAACAAAAGCUCAAAUUUAAAUGAAACUGAUGCUGAUAAAUGUUUAUUAGAAGUUAGUAUAGCAUUUAGUGAGGAGUCACUAUAUCCAAACGAGCUUACGGAACGAGGAAAUCUGUACACAAAUGGUAAAUUUGAUCGGUUCAAUUCGGAAUAUUUUCAAAAAGAAUCUUACUCUCCUAGUAUUAUUGCAUUUAAAAAUGAAUCCAUUCAAAAGAUAAACAGGGUGAGCCAAGCUACAAAGGAUUCUCAAAAAGAUUUAAUGAAUGCAUUUCGGGCAUUUGAAACGAAUAGUAAGAAUUUUCUAAGACACAAAUUCUAUUCUUUUAUGACAGAGCUACGAAAAUAUUAGGAUAAUUGUCAACCAUGUAAGAAUUCUGAAUAAAUAAAAUCACAUUACACAAUGAAGGAAAUCCAUUUAA